rnacentral:tRNA from 1 species
AAGAAAGCAUGCAAGAGCUGCUAACUCAUUGCCACCGUACUUAAACAUACGGCUUUCUUA